GACGAACGCUGGCGGCGUGCUUAACACAUGCAAGUCGAACGGAAAGGUCUCUUCGGAGAUACUCGAGUGGCGAACGGGUGAGUAACACGUGGGCGAUCUGCCCUGCACUUCGGGAUAAGCCUGGGAAACUGGGUCUAAUACCGGAUAGGACCACGGGAUUCAUGUCCUGUGGUGGA
rnacentral:rRNA from 1 species